UCUCCGAAGUAGGGGUAAGACUAAGUACAUUAUGACCUUCCCAAAAUCCUGUAGUGGUUGGAGUCUCUUGCACAAAAUAUGGAUUUUUUUAUUAUUAGAAAAAGAAAUGGAAGAUUAUUGACCGAUAAGGAACUGUUUAUUUUUUCACUUUUACGGAAAAAUCAAGGACGGAGGCACUGGAGAUGUAGCAGAUGAUCACUACCAUCGGUACACGGAAGAUGUGGAGUUGAUGCAUUACUUAGGAGUAAAUUCUUAUAGAUUCUCCAUUUCAUGGUCCAGAAUCCUCCCAAGAGGUAGAUUUGGAGAAGUUAAUACCAUCGGAAUAGAAUUCUACAACAAGCUUAUGGAUGCAAUCUUGCUCAAGGG